rnacentral:rRNA from 1 species
GCAAGUCGAACGAGGUGCCUUUGUAGCAAUACGAAGGUAUCCUAGUGGCGAACGGGUGAGUAACGCGUUGGUGACCUACCCCAAAGUGUGGGAUAACAGAUCGAAAGAUCUGCUAAUACCGCAUGUGGUCUUCGGAUUUAGAAACUGAUGACUAAAGGAGCAAUUCGCUUUGGGAGGGACCUGCGUCCCAUCAGCUAGUUGGUGAGGUAAUGGCUCACCAAGGCUACGACGGGUAGGGGACCUGAGAGGGUGGCCCCCCACAAUGGAACUGAAACACGGUCCAUACACCUACGGGUGGCAGCAGUAGGGAAUAUUGCACAAUGGGCGAAAGCCUGAUGCAGCAACGCCGCGUGUGCGAUGAAGGCCUUCGGGUCGUAAAGCACUUUUCUGAGGGAUGAGCAAGGACAGUACCUCAGGAAUAAGUCUCGGCUAACUACGUGCCAGCAGCCGCGGUAAAACGUAGGAGGCAAGCGUUAUCCGGAUUCACUGGGCGUAAAGCGCGUGCAGGCGGUUCGGUAAGUUGGGCGUGAAAUCUCCUGGCUUAACUAGGAGAGGUCGUUCAAUACUACCGGACUUGAGAGUGGUAGAGGAAGAUGGAAUUCCCGGUGUAGUGGUGAAAUGCGUAGAUAUCGGGAGGAACACCAGUGGCGAAAGCGAUCUUCUGGACCAUUUCUGACGCUCAGACGCGAAAGCUAGGGUAGUAAACGGGAUUAGAGACCCCGGUAAUCCUAGCCGUAAACGAUGUAAACUUGGCGUCGGUGGCUUAAACUCCAUCGGUGCCGCAGCUAACGCGAUAAGUUUACCGCC